UGAGGUAGUAGGUUGUGUGGUUUCAGGGCAGUGAUGUUGCCCCUCAGAAGAUAACUAUACAACCUACUGCCUUCCCUG
ensembl:miRNA